rnacentral:lncRNA from 1 species
UUGAGGAAAGAAGAUUGAGAGAUACGUAAAACACGAGUGACUAUGAGGGAGUGUUAUUUAUAUUAACUUUUCUUACAGCUUUCUCACCAUGAGUUUUCGUGAAGAUUUUAGUGAAAUACGAUAUUAUGUGCGAAAAAUCCAAUAUCUCCUUAACAAAUGGAAGGAAUCAAUACGAGAUGUAUUGACAGAAGAAGCAUCUCAGUCAUGGAAUGAUGUGACAAAGAGUCUUUCAAGUGAAGAAGAGAUUCACGCUCCCGCAAAAGUUGAGCACCAUAUCAUUGAAGAUACAAAAGAAGGGGAAGAAGUCGGCAACCUGGAUGAGCCAUGUUUAUUGACU